UAAAAUGUAAUCGGGGACAGUCAGACUGGUCGGACAACAGGAAAGGGGGAGGGAUGGAGAGAGAGAGGGAAAGCAAGGGUUACUUGAGGUUAGAGAAUUAUAUAUUCAUACCGCCGGGCUGUAAUCUGCCCAAGUGAAAUAUGAGAUGCUGUUCCUCCAAUUUGCAUUGGGCCCCACUUAGAC